AUUCACAUUUUGGCAAGGCUUCUAAGUGACAAUGCCAUGAAGCCUGGACUUUGGCCAUGAAUUUCUUUUCUUGGCACAUGGGCCUGGGAGGUGAGAACAUAACAAGGUACUUCAUGGAUAUUCUUAACUCUUCUCACAUCUAUGCAACUGGAGGGACAUCAUACAACGAGAUGUGGACGGACUCAAACCAAUUCACAACCACUCUGACUAUUGAAAAUGAAGAAUCAUGUUCAAAUUAUAAUAUGCUAAAGGUCUGCUGAUCAUCAACUGGAGAUGACUGCAAAUGGGGAUGGAUUGAACCUCAGAUCGUAUUUUCGAAGCUAUCUGUGAAGUCGAAAACUUUCUGCUUUGACGGCAUAAUCUGUGGAGUAGAAUACUGUAGUUCCUAAAUAUUCCUCUUUUUCUAAUUGAGAUGCAUUCCUGAAGGACCAACCAUGGAAAUAAAUGUUAAUUCUCCCCCUUUAGGUGGAACAAACAGUGUUCUUGCUGAAGAAUGGCUAUUCUUGCCGUAUAUUUGUGUCAGUGAGGUACUUCAUAAAUAUUCUUAACUCUUCUCGCACCUAUGCAACUGGAGGGACAUCACACAACGAGAUGUAAUGAUUGUCACAAUUAUGUUUUUGUUAUGAAAAUAUCAUGGUAUGAUUCACUUGUAACCAGGUGUAUAAUGUCAAUAUAUAUAAAUGU